rnacentral:rRNA from 1 species
AACGAACGCUGGCGGCAUGCCUAACACAUGCAAGUCGAACGAGAUCUUCGGGUCUAGUGGCGCACGGGUGCGUAACGCGUGGGAACCUGCCCUUAGGUUCGGAAUAACUCCCCGAAAGGGGUGCUAAUACCGGAUAAUGUCUUCGGACCAAAGAUUUAUCGCCUUUGGAUGGGCCCGCGUUGGAUUAGCUAGUUGGUAGGGUAAAAGCCUACCAAGGCGACGAUCCAUAACUGGGUCGAGAGGAUGAUCAGCCACACUGGGGCUGAGACACGGCCCAGACUCCUAGGGGAGGCAGGAAGGGGGAAUAUUGGACAACGGGCGAAAGACGGAGCCAGCCAGGCCGCGAAAGUGAGUAAGGCCUUAAGGAUGGAAAGCAGUUUUAACCGGGAUGAUAAUGACAGUACCGGGAGAAUAAGCUCCGGCUAACUCCGUG